CCGGUGCAUGACGGGGAGAGGGCCCUGUGCAUGACGGAGAGGGCCCUUGCAUGACCGCUUGCAAGGCGCGGCUUAGGCUCGGUUCCCGCCUGCGUUCGGGCUCCUCGCUCAUCGAUUCAUCUCGUCUGGGAGAGUUGGAGGAGGAUGUUAGAUACACAAUGUCAUCUGACUCAGAGGAAGAAAAUGGAGUCAGGCAUGAGAAGGAUGACAGUGAUGGGGGCAACUAUGAUGGCAGAUCUAGAUCCCACUCGAGGUCAGCGUCUCCAGGAGAUCAAAGGUCAAAUCGGCAAAAUAUGUCUGACAGAGAGGACUCAGUGGAGGGGAGGGAGAAUGGGAUGAGAGGGGAGUCAGAUACAGAAGAAAACAGAGGCCAAAAAGAGUCCAGUCACUCGAGGACUCCUGAGGAUAAGGAGAUGAUCGAGUGGAGUGGUGAGGCAGCGGAAAAGAGAUGCUCGCGCAGCAGAAGUGACGAGGCUGAGGAUAAAGUGGCAUCUCGUAGUCGUAGUAAGAGUAAGCAGAGGGAAGUAGACACCAGUAAAGAAAGGAAAUCUAGUUCAUCGUCGUCAAAAAAGAAAUCUCGAUCCAGAAGAUCUCGUUCGCGGUCAAGGAGCAAGAAGCGAUCUCACUCUCGAAGUAGAAGAUCUCGCUCCAGAAGUCGGAAGAAAUCCAGAUCAAGGUCCCGAUCUCGUGGAUCAAGACGACGAUCACGAUCUCGGUCAAGAAGGCGUUCAAGAUCUCGAUCUAGAAGUGGAACGCCGGUGGAUGGAGCUCGUCUUCACGUAGCUGAGCUAGAUGUUGAUACACGCAAGAGGGACUUAGAGCGAGUGUUUGAGAAAUAUGGCAGACUGCGGGAGAUCUGGAUGGCUCGGAAUCCACCUUGCUUUGCAUUUGUGGUUUACGCACAUCAGAAGGAUGCAGAUAGAGCACUUAAGGAAACUGACGGAAUAAUGAUUGGCCACUGCCGCAUCAAGGUCACUCAAGCAAGGCCUCGUGUUCGGGGUGGACGCAUGAGAGGAGCUUAUGACCCGAAUCUGCGGUGUUACCAGUGUGGUGAACUAGGUCACUUUUCUAGAAAUUGCACAGACACCAAGUUUGGCUAUAAGCGACCCCCAACUCCACCAGGGAUGUGUUAUGGUUUGGUAUUGUGGUCAUGUGGUUGGGUUAUUGGUGCGGUGGGGAGAGGCGCCUCCAGAGUGCCUUGAGAAGCGUCAUGAUGGCACAGCUGCGGUGGCACGGCCGCGCUCACUUCAAACAUAUGGAUGGUAGAUAUCCAAUUAAUUGGAGGAAAAUUGCGGCUGGAAUCUUGCUAAGAACCUACAUCUGCUUGGGUUAAAACUGUAGAUUAGACGAGUGUUUGGGUGGUAUGUGGUUACGUGUCUUUAGGACUUGGCCGAGAGCUGUACGGUGCUUGUUGUUUUUUUUCUCGUUGGAGGUAAGUAAUUAUAUCACCUUAGUCAGGAUCUUAAAUACAUGCAAUUAUUUAUAGCUAGCUCUAUUGUCAGGUGGUUUCUAAAUUUACUUUGAAAGGUAAGUUGGAGUAACAUUGAUGAAUACAUACAUAAUAUUCACUUUUCUUUUAUUGAAUUAAAACCUUUUUCUUUUCAUGAUCUUGUUGUAAGAGAAAUGCCUUUUGAGAAGUUCAUGAGUUCAUAUGUGAUAUAUAGGACCUAACAUGUAGGGAAAAUCCUCAACCAACAUGAUCUGAAGAUUUUUUAUUUUAUUUUACAAUCUCUUUAUUACUUUUGCAAGGUUUUCCUAGUUUGGGCGAACUUCUUGCAAAAAAAAAAAAAAAAAGAAGAGAAAAAAAAAAAUAGAAGAAAAAAAAAUUGACGUUCUAGUCCUUUUUUUUCCCUAAUUUCUUUUGUCAUUUAGCAGACUAUGUGUUGUUAUUGGUGUUCUUAUGGAGUACUGAAGGGACAGACCACAAGAGAUCAGAGAUAAAUUUGUUAUUCAUCUUGGAAUCCACUCAAGUGAAGGAGGAGGGGAGGAGGAUGGAUGGAUGUUGGGUGAGAUCCGGCAGGCAAGAGAGUGCAACGUGGAAAUGAGCAUCUUCCAAGAGCACACCGGGGAUCAGGAAGAUAUCGGCACAGGUCCCGAUCAAGGUCCCGUUCUCGGCACCACAGCCGAUCGAGGUCCCGUUCUUGAGGAAUGGGGUCAGAAACUUGUAGAUGAAUGGGCUGUGGCCUCUGCUCGGCAGGGCCACGGAGCCCCACACAAGGAGAUACACAGGAGGUCAAGCAUUACCUUGGUUAAGAGAGAAAAGAAAUGAUCUCUUGCAGCUUUCCUGGUCAUAGCACGCCAGGGAUCCCAUAUGCUUAACACAUCCACUGGAAACCUUUGCUUUAUACUUCAGUGAUUCAGAAAACAUUUAAGAAAGUACAGAUAUAUUCAGUUUUUUGAAACCAAUUAGAUAAUCAGAUUUUUUUUUUCUUUUUUCUUUUCUUUUUUGUCGGAUAUAUUUUCCUGCUUCUCGUUAAGAAAGAAAAACUUUAAAUUGUCUGCAUAGUUUUUUUUUUUGUUUUUUUUUGUACCUCCCAGAUGGCUGAUUACUUGUUACAGUAUUCAACUGAGAGUUAGUUUUAUGUUUUGUAACGAGUUUAUUUUGUCUUAAAUUUGUUUUCAAAUAUUUUAGAAAAGAAAUGCUCCUUUAUUUUUUGGGAGAGAAAGAUAGAAAAGAGAAAUUGCAUUUUUUUGAGGCAAUCAUCUUCAGUUUAUUAUAAAAAAAAAGGAAAAAAAAAAAAACUGUAGCAAAAGGAAAUGAAUAUAAGGGGGUUAGAAAGCAAUAUUGCAGGUGAUCAUCCUGCAAUAGGCAGUUGUGUUUAUUGGUCAUAUGUUAUAAAAAUAUAAUUUAAAGAGAGCAUCCAUAUGCAUAAGAUUUAUCAGUUAUCAUACAAUUAAACUUUAAAAAUUCCAACAGUUUGGCAUUAUACUUUGAAGAAUGCUAUAUAAUAUAAAUUUUUAUUUUGUGUUGCUAUUACUGAUCCAACCGUGAUUAAUAAUUUUUGGUGGUAAGUCAAAAUUGAAUAGACUUAGAAAAUAAUAGAUGUGAAUGAAUUUUGUGUGCGUGCAAAUUUGUUGUAGAGUGAAAAUAACUGAUGUAUUUUGGUUGUAUAAGUGUAGUAAUAAAUAUGAAAAUACAAAA